rnacentral:rRNA from 1 species
GACGAACGCUGGCGGCGUGCUUAACACAUGCAAGUCGAACGGAAAGGCCCUGCUUUUGUGGGGUGCUCGAGUGGCGAACGGGUGAGUAACACGUGAGUAACCUGCCCUUGACUUUGGGAUAACUUCAGGAAACUGGGGCUAAUACCAGAUAGGAGCUCCUGCUGCAUGGUGGGGGUUGGAAAGUUUCGGCGGUUGGGGAUGGACUCGCGGCUUAUCAGCUUGUUGGUGGGGUAGUGGCUUACCAAGGCUUUGACGGGUAGCCGGCCUGAGAGGGUGACCGGCCACAUUGGGACUGAGAUACGGCACAGACUCCUACGGGAGGCAGCAGUGGGGAAUAUUGCACAAUGGGCGGAAGCCUGAUGCAGCAACGCCGCGUGCGGGAUGACGGCCUUCGGGUUGUAAACCGCUUUCGCCUGUGACGAAGCGUGAGUGACGGUAAUGGGUAAAGAAGCACCGGCUAACUACGUG